rnacentral:lncRNA from 1 species
GCAUGAAUAAUUUUAUCAACUAGAUUUUAAAAUAUUUUUUUCUCAAUUACCAAACUUCCCUUCCCAAAUACACACCCGAAAGACAAGUUCGAUUGUGAUUUUCAUUAGGAUUGCAGUGAUUUCAGAGAGUAUUUUGAAACAAAUCAACAUCUUUAUAGUAUUGAGUUUACCCAGCUGGAAACAUCCUAAAUCUCUCAGUUUAAGUUCAUGCUUUUAUACAUUAUAUGUUUCUUAAUCAACUUGUUCUAAUAUAUUUUCUGCUUUUUAUAAAUGAAAUAUUUUUUCAGUGAUAUUUUUCACUAGAAAAACUAGUGAUUUUUCCCCAUUAUUAAUAUUAAUAUUAUAAAAACUGUAUUAUUAUUUUUAAUUAUUCCUGGUGUUUUCUCAGUUAAUUCAUUUGGUUUUUGAAGAUACAGAAUUAUAUUACUAUGUAGUAGUGAGAAUUCUACUAACUUCUUUACAAUACUUAUGCUUCUUACUCUGUUCUCUUGAAUAAUUCCACCCAUUGGGUGGAAUGAAUUUCAAACUUCAGUUUUAAGCUUGACCCUUAAUUCACCCAAACUGACCAUUUAUCAUAAUACUAAUCUUCUUACCAAAGCAAUUGGUUCAAGGAUGAGUAACACUGGCCCAGACUCAAUGGGGCAUGGCACCAGUCACAGUGACUUUUUUUUAGGGGUUGACAUGUAAUUCAAGAUUUCCAAGGUUUUCAGAAGAAGAGCUCUCUCUUCUUCUGGACUGUGAGGGAGAAAUGCAUGGGAGGCCUGGGGCCUCUGUGGCUAUUUUGCUCCCAUGAGAGAAGCAGCCCAACACACAAAGGAACACAGAGUUGAAAGACCUGAGAGAAAUCAAGCAGCAACACUAUAACAAACCAUGCUUGAAACAAAACCUAUCCUGCAACUUUAGAAGAGCAUUUUUUUUUUAAAGCCAGUGAGCAUUAUUUGCAACUCAAAUUAUCCUAAUGGAUACACCGGCUCAAUGCUGUAUUCAAGAAACACACCUAAAACAGAACAAAGAAAGUUUGAAAAUAAGGCAUGUGGAAAAUUACACCAGGCAAAUGCAUGCUAACAGAAAGCAAGAAUGGCAGAAUCAAAAUCAGGUAGGAAAAAUUCAAGAUUCAGGCCAUUAAGCAGGGAAAAGAAGCAUAUUAUAACAUCUAUAAGUACAGCUAAUGAAUUCCUGUACAUCACAAACUACAACAGCAAAACCCAUAAAACCAAACUCUGACAAAGAGGUAUAACCAUCAUAAAAAUCACAGACAUAGUGGAGAAUUUUGCAUCAGAAUUUGAUGGUUCAAGCAGAUACAAACAAGCAAGGACAUAGAGAAUAUAAAUAAUACAAAAAAAAAAAUGUAGGAAAAAAAAGUAACAUUCUCUCUCUUUUCCUUACCAAAUAAGAAAUUGGAAUAUCAUGAAUGACCUACCAUUAGAAAGGGUCUAGGCGGAGUUAGUCUUACUUCAGAGUCUAACCUUCAAAAGAACAAAUAAAAAUUUAGAAAGUAUUCCUCUCUGUCUCAAUUCUACUAUUCAACCUAGAAGCUGAAUAUAUUCAGAAAGUUUCGACAGAUCCUUUGGUUUUUGAGCUCUUGGUACUCACCAUCCAAACCUCAGAUACCAAGUAUGAUCAGAUUUUGUGGUAUCUUUGUCAAAACUUUUGUUUUCUGAACACAGGUACCAAACAAAUUUGAAUUUUGAGGAACUAUUUGCAAUUCUUAUUUUGUUUAUCUUAUUCAAAAUAUUCUGUACUCCCAAAAAUGAUUGAACACUAUCAAGAUGUCUACGAAGCUAAAAUAGGAACACCCCAAGUUAAUAAUUCUAAAAGGAAAAAAAUUCUUAUGAAAGCAAAUGUUCUCAAAAUAUUAGUAUGUUGAAUACAUCCAGUCACAAAGAAUAAUAUAGCAUGACCAUGUAGAUAUAUUUUAGAAAACUAUAAUUAUUGUAGAAAGAGAAAAAUACUAUAUCUAUAGAUGCAGAAACAUUUAUAUAAGUAUCACAAAAAAUUCCUAAUAAAAACUCUGAAUAAGAUCGCAGUAUCAUCUUUAUCUAAAUAUACUUUCAUAUUUUUCUUUUAUUCUUAUAUUUCUUUUAAGAAACAUAACUAAAUAUAUUAAAGAAGUUUUAAUAAAUAAUAAAUAUUUUAUAAAUGAUAAAAAUUUUAAAAUCAUUGCCAUUAAAAUCAGAAUCGGGGCACCUGGGUGGCCCUGCCUUCAGCUCAGGUCAUGAUCCCAAGGUCCUGGGAUCAAGUCCUACAUCAGGCUCCCCAUGGGGAGCCAGCUUCUUCCUCUGCCUAUGUCUCUGUCUCUCUCUGUGUCUCUCAUGAAUAAAUAAAUAAAAUCUUUUAAAAAAUCAGAAUAAAAUUAGCAAUUCCUUUUAUCAUUAUAAUUUUUUUCAAAUUUAUUUUGGAUGACCUGAAUAAUGCAAUAAAAAAAGGCAAAAAAAACCUGUGUGUGUGUGUGUACACAUAUAUAUACCUAUUUAUACACAUAUGCAAAGAUAAAUUAUGUUUAUUUGCAAAUUUUAUAUUAUAUGUUUAAAGAUCCCAAGACAUAUAACUAAAAAUUAUCAAGACUAAUAGGAAAACUUGGGGUGCCUGAGUGGCUCAGUUAGCUGAGUGUCCAACUCUUGGGUUUCGGCUCAGGUCAUGAUCUCAGGGUUGUGAGACUGAGCCCUCUUCCCCUCCCCCCGCUUGUUCUCUCUCUCUCUCUCUCUCUCUCUCUCUCGAAAAAAAAAAAAAAAAACUAAAAACUAAAAUAUUUUUUAAAAAAGACUAAUAGGUAACUUGUCAAAGCAUUUAUAUUGUAUUAUGGAGUUAGAAAUGAUAUAUGUAAUUAUCGCAUAUGCAGUAGAGAUAUGGAGUAUAAAAGACCUAGAUAUAUAUUUAACAAGAAAAAUAACAUAUGAGAAGAAUAUGUAAAGAAAUGGAGACAUGAAUGAAUGUAAAGAUGAAAUUUUCCUAGAUGGAAAGACUUAAUAUCCCUAAAAUGCUCAUCCUCACAAAUCAGAACAUAAGUUUAAUACGACAAAAAUAAGAACUUCAAAAGGUUUCCUUUAAACCUGGUUGUAUCCAUUAAAUAUUUCAUAACAUAAAAUUUUAGGAUAUAAUGGAAGAAAAAUAUCCUGAAUAAAGAAAUUCCCCAAAAUGAAGUUUUUAAUUGCCCACUAAGUUCCAGAAAUAAUAGAAUUGAUACUUCAUUUAUAAGCUCUGAGAAGACCUAUCCUCACCAGCACAGAAAAAAGAGCCAUAAGUAAUAAUAUAAUGAAAACCCAUCCUCUCACUACCUUAUCUAAAAAAAAAAAAAAAAAAA